CUCCCCACUCCGCUUCCUCCCACCCCCUCGCGGGUCUCUCUGUUCCCCUGCGGCGGCGAGACGUGGCCGCUCUCGAGGUAGGCGGCUGUGGCCUCGCAACGGCGCUCGCGCUGGUGAAGGCGCCAUCCCAUACCCCACUCCGGCAUUCCCGCUCCCCUCUCCCCGCGUGCAGCGUCCCUAGAUCCGUGCCCGCGCCGCGGCAUUGGCGCCGGCGGGGCCCUAGGGCCGGAUCUAUUAGAACUCGUUAGAACUUCUUGUGGCGCAUCUAUAGCUGGAGUUUUGCUUCGAUUCAUCAUGUUUUGAGGAAGUAUUGGAGGGUACUAUUCUAUUCGUGUUGUUUUCUUGUCUGUUGUUAUUAUAGGAACCGAGGUUGGGGGCGAGCGCGAGGAGCAGGUGAGGCUUGUGCGCAUACCGGCCGCACCAGCAGCCCACCGCUCACGAGGUCCACCACCUGGGCGGCGCCCAGCCCCUUGGCGCCCACGGCGUUCCCGAGCUCGGCCAUGGCAUGGAGUGCACGCUCGGCGAGGACGCCGCCACCAUCGCCUGCGCAGCCGUGGGCCAUGUGCUCGAACACACCUGAUAUCCUAGGAGAAACAAGUCAGGAAGCCUUCCACUGCAGCAGUGUGAAGCAGAAGUGACGGCCGCGGUAAGCUCCCUGUGCUUUGAUUGAUUGGAUGAGAUACUGGUGUAUUGCUACUGUGACCAACCAUCUCUCAAUCAUUACUUGCUUGUCUUUAGUACUAUUUUCUUUGGUGGAUCAUGCAAGUCUGUUGCUAAGAACUAGUUUAAUUCCUGUUGGCAAGUAGCAAUAGCUCAGCAGCUGUCGGCGGCUCUUUGCUUUUAUUAAUUUGCAGCUCUUACUUGUUGUUUGGAACUGUGACAUGUCUUUCAAUGAUACAUUAAUAUUUCCUACUCAGUGAUAAUUAGCUUAUGCUUGAAAUAUCUAGAGAAGUCUAAAUUCUCCUUUUCCUCAUUAUUACCUGCUUGCUUGGGAAGUUGGGUUUAGCCUAGUAUUCAGCUUAGGUGAAAUGGCUUUCAGGUAUCGAUAGCACCAGUCCCAGGUAAAACAAUUGAACACAUGGGUGUCAAGGUCGAGUCCAAAUUGCACCGGUUCAAAUAGGUUGUGUUACUACCAAGGAGCUUGGAACUGAGCAAAGCUGCAGGGUUUGAUCAAAGAGGUUGAAGCUGGAUGCACACUUGUUAUGUUGUGGGAUGUAAUGUUGAGAAUUUGCAUUUGAUUUGGUACUGGAUGUUAUUGAAUGUGAUACUGUAUCAGCCUGUAAUUUUUUUAGAGAAAAAUCAGCCUGGUAAAUUAGAAACUGAGUUCUUGUUCAAUUUGUUGUGUAAACAAAAUUACAAUGUAUUUUUU